rnacentral:rRNA from 1 species
AGGCAGCAGUGAGGAAUAUUGGUCAAUGGGCGCAAGCCUGAACCAGCCAUCCCGCGUGCAGGAUGACGGCCCUAUGGGUUGUAAACUGCUUUUGUACACCAAGAAAAGUCGUGACGUGUCAGAUCUGACGGUACUGUAUCAAUAAGCAUCGGCUAACUCCGUGCCAGCAGCCG